AUUGAACGCUGGCGGCAGGCCUAACACAUGCAAGUCGAGCGGAGCGGCGGACGGGUGAGUAAUGCUUAGGAAUCUGCCUAUUAGUGGGGGACAACAUCUCGAAAGGGAUGCUAAUACCGCAUACGAAUAGAUGAGCCUAAGUCGGAUUAGCUAGUUGGUGGGGUAAAGGCCUACCAAGGCGACGAUCUGUAGCGGGUCUGAGAGGAGGAUCGGCCACACUGGGACUGAGACACGGCCCAGACUCCUACGGGAGGCAGCAGUGGGGAAUCUUGGGCAAUGGGGGGAACCCUGAUCGAGCCACGCCGCGUGUGUGAUGAAGGCCUUCGGGUUGUAAAGCUCUUUUAGCGAGGAGGCGUUACUCGCAGAAUAAGCACCGGCUAACUCUGUGCCAGCAGCCGCGGUAAUUC
rnacentral:rRNA from 1 species